AGAAUGAACGUUGGCGGCGUGGAUUAGGCAUGCAAGUCGAACGGACCAUGGUAGCAAUAUUAUGGUUAGUGGCGCAAGGGAGAGUAAUACGUAGGUAUUUACCCUGGGGUCUGGGAUAGCGGCGGGAAACUGCCGGCAAUACCAGAUGAUAUCUCCGGAUCAAAGGUGUGAUUCCGCCCUAGGAGAAGCCUGCGGUCUAUUAGCUAGUUGGUAGGGUAACGCCUACCAAGGCAGAGAUGGAUAUGGGGCGUGAGAGCGUGCCCCCACUCACUGGGACUGAGACACUGCCCAGACACCUACGGGUGGCUGCAGUCGAGAAUCUUCGGCAAGUGGGCGCAAGCCUGACCGAGCGACGCCGCGUGCGGGAUGAAGGCCUUCGGGUUGUAAACCGACUAGCGAAGGGAGAAA
rnacentral:rRNA from 1 species